rnacentral:rRNA from 1 species
CCUACGGGUGGCAGCAGUUAGGAAUAUUGGUCAAUGGGCGCAAGCCUGAACCAGCCAAGUCGCGUGAAGGAUGACGGCCCUACGGGUUGUAAACCUCUUUUGCCGGGGAGCAACGGGCGCCACGUGUGGCGCCACUGAGAGUACCCGGAGAAAAAGCAUCGGCUAACUCCGUGCCAGCAGCCGCGGUAAUACGGAGGAUGCGAGCGUUAUCCGGAUUUAUGGGGUUUAAGGGGUGCGUAGGCGGAGCGUUAAGUCAGGGGUAAAAUUGAGGGGCUAAACCCCUUCCCGCCAUUGAAACUGGUGCUCUUGAGUGGAAGAGCAGUAUGCGGAAUGCGUGGUGUAGCGGUGAAAUGCAUAGAGAUCACGCAGAACCCCGAUUGCGAAGGCAGCAUGCCGGCUUCCAACUGACGCUGAAGCACGAAAGCGUGGGGAGCGAACAGGAUUAGAUACCCUGGUAGUC